UGUUCGUACAUAGACAUUAAACAAGAAAACAUCUCUCGUUGUGUUGUUUUUUGUUUGUCAUCACUGUAGGUUGGCAGGAGUCGAUGACUACAAGAUGCCGCUGCUCCCAGCCAAGAAAUAGUCCUGCACACAUCCUCCAGUACAUCCACAAUGCAUCAAUUAACACCUCCUGACAGGUGGAUUAUGUUGCCUUUGGACAGAACCAGCCUAGACAUUUCUUCAGUUUCACAUAUACAAGAAAAGUGUUGUUGAGCGUCUGCCAGACGUCUGCCAGCACAAGUGGUUAUCUUUCAUGUGUGUUUGCCGCCCACCACCUGUCGUCACCACUUCCAGUCUGUUAAAGACUGCUCACUUGUUGCAAAGCGUAUUCUUGCUGCUGGAGAAAUUAUGCCGGGAACAAAGAAGGUCAAUGGCAUGUCACCCUCCUUGUUUACUCCUCUCAUGGAAAGCGAGGUAUCAGAACUCUUUAUCUGUAGCCGUCCCACUACAUGCCCAAUGGACCCAAUUCCUACGAAUCUCCUCCAAGCCACAUCUCCUACCGUGGUGCCGGCAAUCAUUCAUGUGAUAAAUCUUCCUGUGGCUUCGGGAACCUUCCUGACCGCUUUCACAAGGGGUCACCUUACACCCCUACUCAAAAAGCCCUCCCUCAACCCAACUGAAGUUGAGAACUAUCGGCCAGUUUCACUUAUACCAAUUUUAUCCAAAGCUAUCGAACGGGCAGUCUUUAAACAGCUCUCAGAAUUCCUCUCAUGUAUUGACAUCCUAGAUCCAUAUCAGUCUGGUUUUAAGAGUGGCCCCUCUACUGAAACGGCUCUUUUGUCUGUGAGUGAAGCCAUCUCGGUGCUGAUCACAGACUGUCUCUCAGUCAUACCUGCAUGGAUGAAGGCUUGCCACCUUCAACUAAACCUCUCUAAGACUGAACUCUUUGUCAUUCCAGCCA